AUUGAACGCUGGCGGCAUGCCUUACACAUGCAAGUCGAACGGCAGCACGGGUGCUUGCACCUGGUGGUGAGUGGCGAACGGGUGAGUAAUGUAUCGGAACGUGCCCAGUAGCGGGGGAUAACUACUCGAAAGAGUAGCUAAUACCGCAUACGCCCUACGGGGGAAAGGGGGGGAUCGCAAGACCUCUCACUAUUGGAGCGGCCGAUAUCGGAUUAGCUAGUUGGUGGGGUAAAGGCCCGCCAAGGCGACGAUCCGUAGCUGGUUUGAGAGGACGACCAGCCACACUGGGACUGAGACACGGCCCAGACUCCUACGGGAGGCAGCAGUGGGGAAUUUUGGACAAUGGGGGCAACCCUGAUCCAGCCAUCCCGCGUGUGCGAUGAAGGCCUUCGGGUUGUAAAGCACUUUUGGCAGGAAAGAAAUCGCAUGGGUUAAUACCCUGUGUGGAUGACGGUACCUGCAGAAUAAGCACCGGCUAACUACGUGCCAGCCGCCGCCGUAA
rnacentral:rRNA from 1 species